GCGGGUGUAGUUCAAUGGUAAGAACAUCAGCUUCCCAAGCUGAGAAUGCGGGUUCGAUUCCCGUCACCCGCU
rnacentral:tRNA from 2 species